rnacentral:rRNA from 1 species
AUUGAACGCUGGCGGCAUGCCUUACACAUGCAAGUCGAACGGUAACGGGCCUUCGGGUGCCGACGAGUGGCGAACGGGUGAGUAAUGCAUCGGAACGUACCCAUUAGUGGGGGAUAACUCUCCGAAGGGAGGGCUAAUACCGCAUAUUCUGUGAGCAGGAAAGCAGGGGAUCGCAAGACCUUGCGCUAAUGGAGCGGCCGAUGUCAGAUUAGCUAGUUGGUGAGGUAAAGGCUCACCAAGGCGACGAUCUGUAGCGGGUCUGAGAGGAUGAUCCGCCACACUGGAACGGAGACAUGGUCCAGACUCCUACGGGAGGCAGCAGUGGGGAAUUUUGGACAAUGGGGGCAACCCUGAUCCAGCCAUGCCGCGUGAGUGAAGAGGGCCUUCGGGUUGUAAAGCUCUUUCGGCCGGGAAGAAAUCGCAUGGGUUAAUACCCUGUGUGGAUGACGGUACCGGAAUAAGAAGCACCGGCUAACUACGUGCCAGCCGCCGCGGUAAGAC